ACAAUCUACUGAGUAAACUCUUGACUGUCUUGUUGCCCACCAGAUUAAACUGUGGACCCUUCAUUCCUGGUAUAGGUGUAUAAUGGGAAUAAUAAUUUAAAACUGCUUUGCAAUAUGCGUCCUUAUUACUAAGCCAGUUUUUCUUCCUGCAUCCCAUCUGCCACCCAUGCUAGGCCAUGUGGCUCAGUGCCCAUGGGAACAAUGACGUAGGGGAAGACCUACCCCCUGCAAAGGAGCACUUUGGAGGAGGAGAGGGAGGACGAGAGAGCGGGGCAAAGACGUGCGAUGCCUGUGUCCUCACUUCCUCCUCCUGUUGGGAUGAUUGAUGGAAAACCAGUGGCCACAGUGUCCACAGAGCAAGCGCUCUGCUCAGUUACUUCCCAGGCAAGAAAUCUUCUUUCUCUUUGGUCUCUUCCUCUGAGCAACCAAGAAGAAGAGCAACAGCCUGCAUCCACGUCUUCACUCAAAUCAGAAUAUUUUCUUCCCAAGAGGAAAUAUGCAAAAUACUCUUCUGCUUGAAAAGAAUAAUAGGUUAAGAUCAAAGUUAAGUUCACUGCUAGUGUGUAGAAUAGCAACCCUGUUGGCCAGAGUUUGAAGUGGCGUUACUAUGUGGCGGAUGUACAUGAAGUCUAAAGGAACAAGGGUAGUGGUGCACUGUGACCACGAACAACACGGAGCAACGGCAUCUGAAAGGCAGGUAAUGCGAUUUAAUCUUGCUGAACUGCUAUCACAGAAUCCCUUCUUGCUUCUUCCUGCCCUUUACUGAGUUCUGAGUCAGGAGAAGACAGUGAAUACUGCAGUGGAACUCUCCGAAGGGAAGGGUCCAAGGUGGGGAAUGUUGUGAUUGUGUGUGCG
rnacentral:lncRNA from 1 species